GCUGAAUUCCUUAAGUCAAAAAGAGUAAAUAAAGAUUAGAAAAAAAAGGUAUAAAUAAAUGUAGAUUAUUUGUUAAAAUUAAUACCUAGUAAUACAUCUAUUCUACUGAUAUUACAUUUUUUAUUAAACUACCUGAUUUAAAAAAAACAUGAACAAAACUGUCCUACAUCACACAAUUUAAAAGUUGGUAACCCUACCCUUAAUUUUCUCUUGCUGAACUGGAGCUAAAGUUGCUGUAGCUUGGUCAAAAAAUGUCAAAUGGGCUGAAACUCAACAAGAUCCGUAAUAAUACUGUUAUAUAGCCAUAUAACUACCAAGUUCUUCAGUAAAAAUGUAUAAGAAUUUUACAACUAAGCUACCUGUCACAAAAAUAUAGGUUACCUAUAAACAUUCCCAAAAAUUAUAAAACUUUGUAUGUGAUGGAUUCCACCAUAUAUAUUAAUAACCUGUUAGUUUCGAAUGUUUACGUUAAAAAUUACAUCUGUUUUAACGCAACAUACAAAAUAUCAUAAUU